CGCCACGUCAGAUCCGCAGCGUUUCAUUAAAGCUUCGGAUUGGGCUUUGUUCUGCUGUUCUCCUGCGGCCCAUCGAGACCGUCUCCUGCGCAAAACCUAAUCAGAAGCUUUCUUCGUGUUCAUCGUCCAUCUUAGAACGGCGCUGAGACGGUCUCGAUGGGCGUCAUCAUUUGAUAGUUUGGAUGACUGAGAUCGAGAUGAAGAAUCUGUUCAUUUGUCUCCUCCCGCGUCGUUUGGUCUUCUCCUCUGCUCAAACAUAACGGCCGAGUUACAGAUUGAGCGCCAUCAUCGUCUUCUUAACUCCAUAGAAGGAGCUGUUGCACGAUCUUGACAUUGAUUGUGAGUUAUCCUUCUCCAAGGAGAUCUAUUCUUCACCUAUAAAAAGCUGGUGGUUGCUUAGGUUUUGGGAAGCCAGUAAUGUCUCUUGAUAUACUCUUACUGGAUUCCAAGAUACAGCUGAAGAGAACACAAGGGACUGACAAAUACAAAAGACAGAAUUAUUUUAUCAUUCUUGAUAGGAAGCAAGCAAUUAAAGUUGUUGAUCUACUCGCUCUCCAUCUCUCGAGGCUAAGUUAGUUGCAUUCAGGUCGAGUUGUUCAUGGGAAUGUGAAAACAAAGAAUAUGCUUUGGUUUAUCAGAGGAAUCUAAAUAUCACAGAUUUUGGUGGAGAAUGUGGAACUCUCGGAUACAUGGCUCCAUAGGUUGCAAGAAUAUUUGGACCAGCGAUUUUUGAAGCCUCAAAUUGAAAGUAUCAUUCUUAGGAGUUUACAGCUUCGUGAUGUGCUUGUGGAAUGUAUACUGAUGUCCUAUGCCUUACGCUGAUCUCAGUUUAGUUGGUGUUUCUUUUACUAUUUUCCGUCAGAUUUGUGGCACUUGAUAAAAGAAAAAAUUGAAUGAAAGUGAAAUUUAAUUUUUGUACGGUAAACAGUAAGGAAUAGACAAAUUUAAAACAAGACUCUUUGAGAAACAAGAAUCAUCACAUCAGCAAUUUUUGCAUUUGA